GCUGCAGUUAAACUUGAUGUUUGUUAUAUUGUAUCAGUUUAACACUGUUGAAGGCUAACGAUAAUUUAUUCUGCAUUAUCUUAGUCAUAAUAUUUCUUACUGAGCUAGUUGAGCUCACCCUUUUACUUUCAUUGUUCUCUUCAGGAAAUGAGAACGUUGCAGGGACUAGUCGGGGAACGAAGUGACGGUCCAGAUGAUAGCAUUAGUAGUCCUCACUAUUCUAUGAAAUAG
rnacentral:lncRNA from 1 species